CACUUUGCAUAGGUGAAAUGGAAACUUCUUUAAUAAUCUCGUUUUCUGCUUGAAUAUGACCGGGCGGAUCGCAAAAAAUGUCCGAUUCAAGUCGAUUAGUAGGUUAUGAACAACUUAGCAACGAAAUAUUGGCAAAUAAGUGCGGCGAAACGGUCACAAAUGCUCAGGAACCUGUCGGGAAGUGUGGUUCUCAUUACGAAAACAAGGUGGUUUGUGAAAGAACGCCGGUCUGCGGGCGGAUUUCCAUAAACAAAGGACAAGGCACGUUUGGCUGCAGCUUAGCAAAGAGCAGCCUUGAUCACCAUGAAUGGUGGGCGCCUCUCAAGGAAGCAAACGUGCUUUCUGUCGUCGACAAGCCCCUGCAACUUUCCUCGGCCUAAUCUCACACCAUCUCUCCAUGCUUGUGCCAGACACUUGAGGUCACAUUGAAAUAGAGAGGCCCACUGGUGCUCAAAAGGAAUGAAAAUUUUUUAGACGAGCAGCAACGCCAGCAACGAAAAGUUUGUGGCGUACUUCAGCAAGCCAAGCGCAAAGGUCGAUGGACUCGAAGCCAAGUUGGCGACGAUUUUUGUAGCCUCGGCCUGAUCUCACACCAUCUCUCCAUGCUUGUGCCUGACACUUGAGGUCACAUUGAAAUAGA